UGUAAUAAAGCUAUUUUUUUCAUGUCCCAGCUAACAACCCAAACCAUCCCAGUACUAUUCAAUACUGCUUUGAAACUGUGGAUCCAAUGGAUUCCAUUGAAUGAAAACUACUGUAUGACAAAAAAUUCAUAAUUCCUUGUCUGUGGAAUAGUCAACGGAUGUAAUGGGAUAAUGUAUUAUGUAUAAAAUAUAGCACCAGUAGUUGAAUUCCUGUGAAAUGUUAACUAUUCGAACUCAAAUUUGACAUAUGCUUCAAAAUGUUCGGGAUCACCCAUUGAUUUUUAAAAAGGACGGUGCUUCCUGGUAAGCAGCAGCUCAGAGUAGAAAGAGCACUGGACCUGGAGUCAGAUGCGAGGCAGGUUGAUUUCUCUAAACACUCUAAUAUCCUUUUCCAGACCUAAUGUUCUAUGACCUUUUGAACUGAAUCUUGAGAGUUUGGUUUUUCGGAGGUAUUUUUUAAGUGGUUUUCAAGUUAUAGUCUUCAAGUCUUUUGUUUCUUUCUUUUUUAAAAGAUUCGCUCUGAAACUCGAAUCUGGUAAGGAAAGGGGUUGGGGGAAGACAGUUUCGUUGUUUUGUUUUGUUUUGUAUUUUCCACAGAUCUGCCAUCGAAUAUCUUUUGUCGCUUGUUAGUAGAGGUCAGCUCCCCUCUACUGAGUUGGCAGGUGGGAAGGGGAUUCUGAAACGCCCUAGUAGCGUCUCCUGCCACAAGCGGAGAGAAAAACAGUAUCUGAGAGACUAGAUCGCUGUGGUGUGUUUACAGAACUGGCUCAGAUUCCUGAGAUUAAAUAGCUUAGAAUUUCUUAAGAGAGUUCACUUAGGCACAUGUUGCUUUUGUUCUCAGAUUUCCUUCUCCCCCACCCCGCUUGUGAUUACGGCUUGUGAUCAGUGUCCGACCAAUAGGAAUCAUGAGCUUUAAAUGUCCAAAAUGGACCACAUCUUGCUCUCCAAUCUCGCUUCUCUCUUGUGUUCCCAGUCUUGAUCAACAACAUCACCAUCACGCCGGUUCCAGCCACGCUCAAAACCGUGGAGUCAUUCUCGACUCUUCCUUCUCCCUCACGGCCCAUUCCCCAGGCUUGCCCUCUCCGACCCACCCUUCCUAUCGUGGCUGCCAAAGUGCUCUUUCUGAAGUGCGAAUAUGAUCACAGAGCUUCCCUGCUUAAAAGACUUUAAUGACUCCUUUUCACUUACUGGAUUAAACCCCAGCCCUCUUUCAGUGCCGGUAUCUCUCUCUAGUCUAAUCCCCUGCCACUCCUGGUCAUUCCUCUGAGCCCCUUACACUCCAGCCACACGAACUGCCCCCAGUUACCCAAACACACCGUGGUCUUUCGUGAUCGUGACUUUGCAGGUGAUAUUCCCUCUGCUACUUUCUCAGCCCAAGUUAGUUACUUUUCCUCAUGUUCCCAUAGCAUUUCCACAUACUGGUUUUAUAACUCGUCACACGAGUUCCUAGUCACUUCUCUGUUUGUAUGUCUUCACUACCAGACUGCCAGUUCCCUGUUUUGGGAGAGCAUAAACAGUAUAGAGGACAUUCAGACUCCGGAUGCUUCUAGAUGGCAUUUCAGCUUACUUUGGACCCUGAGACCCUAUGCCAUUCUCAAAUGCUCGCUUUUUCUCCUUGUCCCAGCCCUCCCCCUGGUGGAGGUGUUAAGACGCAGUGGAAUGAUCCCAUGGCCAAAGCAUAAGACAAAGCAGCCUGGCCGAUCCACAACCUGGGUAAACAUCGGCCUCAUGUCGUUUUCUAGCCAAAUGGAACGCUAGCAACGGGCCUUGGAUUUAGGGUGACCCGGCAGGAGCUCUCUGUCUCGCCACGUAUCAGUUGGCAGACCAUGAUUUGAAUCCCCAGGGCUGUAGCCGGGGGUCAACACGCCCAUCCCCGAUGGUCUCAAAGAACAUUAUAGUACUGUCAAGCAGACAGCCCAAGAAUAAUUCGCUGGCGGAGAUCUUCCUUGUUUUUUCCUUUCCCUGAAGCCGAGGCAGACCUGCAUGCAAGAAUGUUGGCCUUUGGAUGAUGACACCACAGAGCAAGGAAUCAAAUACCGGUCACAUCCACAUGUCCCUCUCAGAUGUCUGACUGUCCUCUGGGGAAAACGAAUUCUGCCUCUGUGUGAUAUGAUUUCCUGGAUAUCAGACCAUGAGUCAAAGCAGAACUAGUAUCUUUCAAACCUCUACGCCAGAGAUGAAGCCUCACUGUAUGACCCACAACCACUGCCCUGGGGCUUCCACUGGGCGGAACAGGCAAGUGUGAUUAUUUGGGCACAGCUGAGUGCAACGACAGUGAUUUGUCUGCUCCCGGCUCUGUCACUAAUUAGCUGUGUGUGUCGGGCAAGUCACUGUCCCUCUCUGAACCCUAAUUUCUCCAUCUGUAAACUGAAGGAGUCAGACCAAGACCCUAUCUGAGAUUCCUUCAGAUAUGGAAAGCAGCGGUUGUACUGGGAAUUGGUAGAGGGGGCUGCUGGUCUUGGCCGGCAGCUACUCACCCCGCUGACUCCUAAUUCCUAAUUCCUAAUUAGGCUGCCUCCUAAUUCCCGUAGAUACCAAACAGCCCUUCCUUCCUGUGUCUCUGAGCCCUUUCUGACAGCAAAGACUGAAAAGGAUACAGGCUUACGUGAGUCAGUUUGCCGUAGUAAGGGUAGUAGCGAAGGUCAAAAGAAGCCGACUCUGGGUAGUAAUUGAUGGAUCGGAUGUCAUUUUCAUCACCUCUCUGUAAGUAAAAGCAGGUAUAUGUCGGAUGCCGGGUCUCUCGGUGAGUUGGAGCCUGAGCUCAAGGGGCCUGCGCCCCAGGUGAAAUCACUGUGUGACCCACAACCAACUGUCCCAGGAAGACCCACGAAAGCAGAAUGGGGCAUAGUUUACCCCAGACCUAUCCUCCAGAGCGUUUCCAGAAAGAGAUUGUGCCUUGGUUUCCAGUUCCAAGAUUACUGAAUGGAAGGUCUGGACUGGGGAGUCCCAAGGUGCUCCAUAUGGUUCUGCACUGGCUCCUAGAGGAGCCAGACGGAGGACUCCAAAGGGCUUGCCCUAGCUGCUCCAGCACAAGAGCCUACACACCAGGCCCUCUCCAAAGAACUCAUACUGGGCCUGGCACCCGGUCUUGGACCUUGAGGCAGGUGUAAGUUACACCAUGUCUAGAUAAUCCCACUGCACGACGACUCGUACACUGUGGGCUCGGUUCAUGGCAUGUCACACCAGGUGCACAGGCACCUGACUCAUAGGGACACAGCCUAGAGUCUGGCCCACCUAAACUCAUGUCUCUGACCAUAUUCUCUGCUUAAGCACAGCAGGUGACGUCAGGAUGAUAAGCAAGAGGGGACCCAUAACUGGAAAUGAUUAAAUAAACAACUCUACCAUCAUCAUAGCAUAUCAGAUUCAGUAUGUCCUUGGCUUAUUCAGAUGUCACCAAUUUGGAGUUCGUGAGAAUUGUGUCGGAGAUCUGAUCGCAGUGUACCUUUACGGCAUCUCCGAUGGAAGGGCUUGCUGAGCAGAUGAUGACCGAUGGCAAGAUCACAGGGGAGCGGAGUUGAAUGUACCGCGGAGGGCAAAUUGCUUGGGAGCCCUCUGGGCAACGGUUGAUGUCCUAAGUACAAAUCAUUCUUCGCUAUUCAUUAAAGCAGGUGCCCUGAAGAGUCCUAGCAGCUUGGUUCCAGUGAUUAUAUGUAUUUGCAAGUGAUGAAAACUGCAUUUCUUUUCACGUAGCCUAUAAUUCAAACUUUUGAUUAAUUUCCACUGGACUUGUCUCUAAUCAAGGCAAAGUGAGGCUUCACCCUACUUAUUUCAAAUCUUACUCAUCUUUAGCAAAUAUUUAAGUGGCUCGACUUUUCAAAAGGAACAAGGACGGGGAGGGAAGGAGGAAGAAGCCGUACUUACUUACUGACUCUUGCUACCUGGACGCUCUAUACCUGUGCGCCUGGCCAAGUGACAGAACCUCUCCGUACCGCCGACUCCUCACAGGUAAAAUGGGAAUAAGUUUAGCACUUAACCUCAUAUACUGAUCUACAUGCCUAACAAUCCCGGCAAUUCUGCUUUUCCUUACAUCCUAUCCUGACCUGACCAUUUCCUAGCUGUUUCAUCUUGGACAUGCCGUUCACCCUCCCGGGUCUCAAUUUCCUCAUCUGUAAAACGAGGACAGUAACAGUACUUACUUCUUAGCCUUGAAAGAUGCAUGUAAAUAGCAGCGCGCAGAGCCUGGCAGAUACCCAGUGCUCUUUAUUUUUUUUAAUGUUUAUUUAUUUUUGAGAGAGAGACGGACCGUGAGCGGUGGGGGGAGGGGCAGAGAGGGGGGGGGGACACAGAAUCCGAAGCAGGCUCCCGACUCUGCGCUGUCAACACAGAGCCCGAUGUGGGGGCUCGAACCCACGAAUGUGAGAUCAUGACCCGAGCCGAAGUUGGACGCUUAAGUGACUGAGCCACCCAGGCGCCCCUACCCAGUACUCUUUAAAUGG